rnacentral:tRNA from 1 species
UGCCGCGUGGCGCAGUGGCUAGCGCGCCUGUUUUGCAAUCGGAGAGUCGCGGGUUCGACUUCGCGCUUGGCUC